rnacentral:rRNA from 1 species
GACGAACGCUGGCGGCGUGCUUAACACAUGCAAGUCGAACGGAAAGGCCCUGCUCUUGUGGGGUGCUCGUGUGGCGCAGGGGUGUGUAACACGUGUGUACCCUCCCCUUGUCUGUGGGAUAUCUUCAGGAAACUGGGGCUAAUACCGGAUAGGAUCUCCUGCUGCGUGGGGGGGGUUGGAGAGUUUCGGCGGUUGGGGAUGGACUGGCGGCAUAUCCGCUUGUUGGUGGGGUAGUGGGUUACCAAGGGUUUGACGGGUAGCCGGCGUGAGAGGGUUGCGGGCCACCUGGGGCCUGAGAUAGGGCCCAGAAUCCAACGGGAGGCAGCAGUGGGGAAUAUUGCACAAUGGGGGGACGCCUGAGGCAGAAACCCCGGGUGCGGGAUACCGGCUUUUGGGUUGAAAACCGCUUUCGCCUGGGACGAAGAGUGAGUGACGGUAAUGGGUAAAGAAGCACCGGCUAACUACGUG